CUCCUACGGGAGGCAGCAUGGGGAAUAUCGGACAAUGGGCGAAAGCCUGAUCCAGCGACGCCGCUGGGGGAUGAAGCUUUUCGGAGUGUAAACCCCUUUGACCCGGACGAAUGCCUCGCAAGAGGAUUGACGGUACGGGUAUAAGAAGCCCGGNUAACUACGUGCCAGCAGCCGCGGUAAUUC
rnacentral:rRNA from 1 species